rnacentral:rRNA from 1 species
AGAGUUUGAUCAUGGCUCAGAUUGAACGCUGGCGGCAGGCCUAACACAUGCAAGUCGAGCGGUAGAGAGAAGCUUGCUUCUCUUGAGAGCGGCGGACGGGUGAGUAAUGCCUAGGAAUCUGCCUGGUAGUGGGGGAUAACGUUCGGAAACGAACGCUAAUACCGCAUACGUCCUACGGGAGAAAGCAGGGGACCUUCGGGCCUUGCGCUAUCAGAUGAGCCUAGGUCGGAUUAGCUAGUUGGUGAGGUAAUGGCUCACCAAGGCGACGAUCCGUAACUGGUCUGAGAGGAUGAUCAGUCACACUGGAACUGAGACACGGUCCAGACUCCUACGGGAGGCAGCAGUGGGGAAUAUUGGACAAUGGGCGAAAGCCUGAUCCAGCCAUGCCGCGUGAGUGAUGAAGGCCUUAGGGUUGUAAAGCUCUUUUGUCCGGGAAGAUAAUGACUGUACCGGAAGAAUAAGCCCCGGCUAACUUCGUGCCAGCAGCCGCGGUAAUA